UACGUAGGGGGCAAGCGUUGUCCGGAAUCAUUGGGCGUAAAGAGCGUGUAGGCGGCUUGGUAAGUCCGCUCUGAAAGCCCGGGGCUCAACCCCGGGAGGCGGGUGGAUACUGUCAAGCUCGAGUCCGGAAGAGGCGAGUGGAAUUCCUGGUGUAGCGGUGAAAUGCGCAGAUAUCAGGAGGAACACCAAUGGCGAAGGCAGCUCGCUGGGACGUGACUGACGCUGAGACGCGAAAGCGUGGGGAGCAAACAGG
rnacentral:rRNA from 1 species